rnacentral:rRNA from 1 species
AACUAAAUAGGAUUCCCUCAGUAAUGGCGAAUGAACAGGGAUCAGCUCAGCAUGGAAAUUGGGGCCCUCGGCCUUGAAUUGUAGUCUCGAGAUGCAUCGCCAAUGGAGGCGCAGAUGUAAGCCUCUUGGAAAAGAGCAUCAACGAGGGUGAGAGUCCCGUUUGUCAUCUGCAGUCCCCCAUGCACGGCGUGCCUUCUAAGAGUCGCGUUCCUCGGAAUUGGAGCGUCAAUUGGGUGGUAAAUUUCAUCUCAAGCUAAAUAUUGGUUCGAGACCGAUAGCAAACAAGUACCAUGAGGGAAAGGUGAAAAGGACUUUGAAAAGAGAGUUAAAAGUGCCUGAAAUUGCUGAAAGGGAAGCGAAUGGAACCAGUGUUGCUUGGCGAGAUUGUCGUACGCAUUCGCGUGUGGUGGUUCUUGCCUUGUGUGUCAACGCCAGUUCGCGAUCGAGGAAAACUCCAGGGACAUGGUAGCCUACCCCUGGGUGGGUGAAUGUGCUUGGUAGAACUCAUUUGCGGACUGUUUCCUUCGUGUCUGGUUGCAGUGCUGCUUGAUCCUGUGUUGGCGCUUGGGGGUGGGAGCUCGCUCCUCACACCCUGCCCUUCUAAGGUUCUCAGCGCUUCCCUGACACAUAGACGAUGACUAAA